CGGAGCUCAGGCAGUAAUAUUUGCUCACCCUGCCCCCCAUCACCUCCUGUUGUGCGGCCCGGUUCCUAGCAGGCCACGGACUGCCUCCUGCUUUGCACUGCUUCAGAAGUUGGCAAACAUCUUGAGGGAAGCCUGGCUCUGUUGACACUCCUGGUCUCCAGUUUUGACAUCCUAGCCCCAGAUGAUGCACCUAAAGUUGAAAAGCUGACUUCCACCUCCUGGGCAACGUGGCUCAGGUUUGUGCGCAGGUCAAGACAAAACUGAUGUCAACACCAGGAAUGAAGGAGAAAUCUGUGGCUUAAUGAAGGUGGAGACCCAGCGUGAAGGAGGCUGUGUCUGUAAGGCAGGGAAAAAAGCCUUCACCAGGAACCAGUGCUGGCACCCUGAUGUCAGACUUCAAGCCUCCAAAGCUGUGAGGGUACUGGUAGCCGCAUAAAACAAGUUGGGGCAUAUUCCAACAAAAUAGAACAUUUUGUGAAAGAGUGUAUAUGAAAAAGUUACUUCUUCCUUGAAUGUGUAAUAGAAUUCACCAGUGGAACCACCAGGGAUUGACAAUUUCUUUAUGGAUUGCUAUAGAAGCCAGGACCCUAAGCCACCAUCUCAAGAGAUAUUUUUGAACUGAGGCUUCUUCCAGGUA
rnacentral:lncRNA from 1 species